AGAGGCAGCCUGUGACAGAGACAGACAGGAAAUCGUUUCCUGCGUUCUUGGCAUCCUCCAGGCUUGGUUCCUACCUCUCCAGAGGCCCAAUUGUUUGAUUUCACCUUUGAUUCCAAGGAAGCACCCAAUUUCCUGCUAAUAAAUUUCAUGGACUUGUUUGAAGUUGACUUCUGUCACUUUUGACAGAAAGUGUCCUGACAGUCCCAGCUGAGGAGGAUGUUUUCAUCAUAGCUGCCUUUGCAAAUAAAAAGCAGGGAUAGCAGGAUGGCAGGCUGCAGCAGCCAAGGCCGAGGUGGGUUUGCUGCCCCUGUCACUUGUCACUUGGCAGUCUUCUGCAUGGCCGGCAGCCUCUGCCCUGUGGGCU